CGGGCCCGGCGCGGCGCGCGCGGCGGCUGCAGGGGGACGUGAGGCCCGUGAGGUCGGUGCCAGGGAUGCGGCGUCCCGCGGAGGCUGCGGGGCGCUCACAGGAACAGCAGCUCCGUGCUGGAUGGAUGCUCUGAUUAGCAAGACCUACUCUCCAGAUAGGAGACUGGAAGUGAGAGGAAGAAUGACAGAUCAG